rnacentral:rRNA from 1 species
CACACCGCCCGUCACACCAUGGGAGUUGGUCAUACCUGAAGACGGUGUUCUAACCUCGCAAGAGGGGGAAGCCGGCCACGGUGUGGUCAGCGACUGGGGUG